UUGACGAAUGUUUCGAAGCUUCAUGAAUCAUGAUUGGAAAGCGGCCAUCAGUGGUUCCCAGUGCCGCCGCUGGAGGCAGUAAUGCGCUGCUGAGGCUCUGGCCGAAAGCCUGAAACUAACACAGAAGAAGAUUCAUUCCGCACAUGUGCACUGCAGUGCUUUGAGCAGCGUGGGCUUCGAGGAUGGGCAGCAACAAGAUUAAUCCAACUAAAAGACUGAAGCUUUGAACUGACCCAAUGAUUAAGCACACUACCCAUCUGACCCUGCACUCAGGGGAACGAUUAUUUACUCUUAUAUGAGGACAAAGACCGGAGACACGUGGAGGAUUCGUCUGCUUGUGUGCUUCAUCAUGAAUAAUGUGAUUUGGUGAAGAAGUUGUGCCUGUUUGCGUCUGUUAUGGUGUGAGACUUGCAUGUUGUACUUCUGUUCUGUGGAAUCCAAUACAUUUGGUUUGAUACAGUCUUUCUGUAAUUGGGUGACUCGGAUGCUUCAUGCAAUCGUAGGAAAACCUCAAAUAAUGCUAACAAUAAAAC